rnacentral:rRNA from 1 species
UGGGUGAUCUGCCCUGCACUUUGGGAUAAGCCUGGGAAACUGGGUCUAAUACCGAAUACACCUUGCUGGCUGCAUGGCCUGGGUGGGGGAAAGCUUUUGCGGUGUGGGAUGGGCCCGCGGCCUAUCAGCUUGUUGGUGAGGUUACGGCUCACCAAGGCGUCGACGGGUAGCCGGCCUGAGAGGGUGACCGGCCACACUGGGACUGAGACACGGCCCAGACUCCGUACGGGAGCA